rnacentral:rRNA from 1 species
AGAAGUAGCUAGUCUAACCUUCGGGGGGACGGUUACCACGGUGUGAUUCAUGACUGGGGUGAAGUCGUAACAAGGUAGCCGUAGGGGAACCUGCGGCUGGAUCACCUCCUUA